AUUGAACGCUGGCGGCAUGCUUUACACAUGCAAGUCGAACGGUAACAGGCCGCAAGGUGCUGACGAGUGGCGAACGGGUGAGUAAUGCAUCGGAACGUGCCCAGUCGUGGGGGAUAACGCAGCGAAAGCUGUGCUAAUACCGCAUACGAUCUAUGGAUGAAAGCGGGGGACCGUAAGGCCUCGCGCGAUUGGAGCGGCCGAUGUCAGAUUAGGUAGUUGGUGGGGUAAAGGCUCACCAAGCCAACGAUCUGCAGCUGGUCUGAGAGGACGACCAGCCACACUGGGACUGGGACACGGCCCAGACUCCUACGGGAGGCAGCAGUGGGGAAUUUUGGACAAUGGGCGCAAGCCUGAUCCAGCAAUGCCGCGUGCAGGAAGAAGGCCUUCGGGUUGUAAACUGCUUUUGUACGGAACGAAAAGGUUUGGGUUAAUACCCUGGGCCGAUGACGGUACCGUAAGAAUAAGCACCGGCUAACUACGUGCCAGCAGCCGCCGUAA
rnacentral:rRNA from 1 species